CAGUCGCCGCGGUAAUACAGAGGGUGCAAGCGUUAAUCGGAAUUACUGGGCGUAAAGCGCGCGUAGGUGGUUCGCCAAGUUGGAUGUGAAAUCCCCGGGCUCAACCUGGGAACUGCAUCCAAAACUGGCGAGCUAGAGUAUGGUAGAGGGUGGUGGAAUUUCCUGUGUAGCGGUGAAAUGCGUAGAUAUAGGAAGGAACAUCAGUGGCGAAGGCGACCACCUGGACUGAUACUGACACUGAGGUGCGAAAGCGUGGGGAGCAAACAGGAUUAGAUACCCCGGUAGUCCCUGUCUCUUAUAA
rnacentral:rRNA from 1 species